rnacentral:rRNA from 1 species
AUGGCGUCUCGUGGAUAUCUACACCCAGCGAGAGAUCACCCUUCCAUCGUUGGGUACCGCCGCCAUCGAGCGUCGCUGCCCACCGGACACUCCUGCCUACUACGCACGAGACGCUCACUCGACCUCUAUUUCCUGAAUCUUGUAAUCUGUGAAGUGCCCACACCAUCACAAGACUACAUGGAUUACAAGCUCAUUGCCGUGUUCAACAUGGGAUUAAAUGAUUGGCCGGUGCUGCCGGUUGGCAUCAAGUUCGAUCCCACGGAUCAGGAGCUGAUCGAGCACCUUGAGACCAAAGUGAGUGCUGACAGCGCGAGAUCUCACCCUCUCAUCGAUUUGUUCGUACCAACCAUCGACAUCGAGCACGACAUAUGCUACACCCAUCCUGAGAAACUUCCACCUAUCGCAUUGAGUGGCCUAAGAAAGCAUUUCUUCCAGCGCAAUUCCAGGGCAUUCAAAAGGGGCACGUGCACGUGUCGCAAGAUACAGUCGGAGUGCGGCAUGCACGCGAUGUGGCACAAGACCGCCAAUACCUUGCCGGUGAUGGUCAAUGGCCGGCAGACGGGCAGCAAAAAGGUUCUGGUGCUGCACACCAACAAGAACUUCGACCAUUACCGCAAAAAAAAAAAGAACUUCGACCAACAGAGGACCAACUGGGUGAUGCACCAGUACCACCUCCGGGACCUGCAGCAAGAUAAGGAGCGGGAGCUGGUCUUCUACAAGAUUUUCUACCAGACGAACACUAGGGCCAUGACUAAAAAGAUUAUAAGCUAG